GUAAAUACAAUUUAUGAAAGCAAAAAAUUAUGGCGGUACUUUAAGCUUUUCAGAGGAAUUUGCUCUGUAAUGGAUAAAACACCUAAAUCUUACUAAAAUUUGUUAAAUCAGUUUGUAUACCACUAUUAAAGUAGUAUUUCAUAACUAUUACUUAAAUUUUUUAAAAAAAUAAAUUAAGUCAAGGUGCAGCAAAAGUUUUAGGAUGAAGUGAAUUACAAUUCUUUUUAGUUUUUAAAAUUUUUUUAAAAAAAUUUUAAAAUAGGAUUUGAAAGUAAAAAAUCAAUAGUAGGCUUUGAAUAAAGU
rnacentral:rRNA from 1 species